GACUGUGAUGCUCACUGAACUACACCGCAAGCAACAAAACAGAAAGAGGGAAAGCGUCAGACAAACCAACCAGGAACAAGGCAACAGAAGGGAGGCGGUAAGUGCUGCGGCUCGAUGAUGACCGCAAAGCUCAGUCAUGUUUGAGGGAAGAUCGAGGUCAACGUAGGAUAACAAAGGGCAGUCUGCCGGAAUGGAAGGAAAUGGUACCCGACAUCCGUUCACCUGGAAGGCUAGAGUGGAUGCUGUCUAACACCCUGGUGAUCUUCUGCUAUUCUAUGGAGCCAGCCUUCACCUGACUCUGCCAAAAUCCUGACCAUUGCCUAGGCUCCAGUCCCGAGCUUUGCCUCCCAGUGAAUAGGCCCCAUCCUUAUGAGAGAGGUCACGUAUACUUUGCAUUCCCCAUCAAUAGAAUCUAUCCGCGUGCUUAUUAAAGGGCUCUCGAAGGCCUCAGCAUGGCAAACAUGGAGCUGUCAUGUUUUGCCCUCUCCCCUUCCCCCUCUCUUGUUGAACCAUUAGAUUACAUUCUUAAAGCUAGCCACCAAGGUCUAUCCCCGAAUUUGGCCACUUCCUUAUGCCUUUGUAAUAGACUCUCCUUUGUGCCGAGAACUUGGUUGUCUGGGUGUGUUCCGUGCCCACUCUGAGGUCCCUUCCCUUCUUACAAAGUGGAUUUGUAGGAUCUUUCUUCCUAGGCGUGUGCAGUGAGCACUAUUUAUCAGUCAAUAGAACUCACUCUUAAUGUAAGAGUCACAGGUGCUUGACUAGUUUGGAAGGGAGUUUAGGUACAGCCGUCCCUGAAGCUUUAUGGUGAGAAUUGUCACAUGGAGACUCCCCCACCCCCACCCCAAGGCUUUACUGUGCUUAAAUGUGUAUGGAAAAUAAACCAUGAGACCGG
rnacentral:lncRNA from 1 species